rnacentral:snRNA from 1 species
AUACUUACCUGGCAGGGGAGAUACCAGGAUCUUGAAGGUGGUUUUCCCAAGGCGAGCUCAUCCAUUGCAUUGUGAAUGUGCUGAAUCCCACAAAAUCCCCAAAUGUGGGAAAUUCAUGAUAGUGAGGCACUGCAUCUGUGCUCUCUCCUG